GGGUGUGAUCAUACCAGUACUAAUGCACCAGAUCCCAUAAGAACUUCGCUGUCAAGCAUGCUUGGGCGAGAGUAGUACUAGUAUGGGUGACCUCCUGGGAAGUACUCGUGUUGCACCCC